rnacentral:rRNA from 1 species
AGUGAGCGCUGGCGGUAGGCCUAACACAUGCAAGUCGAACGGCAGCACAGUAAGAGCUUGCUCUUACGGGUGGCGAGUGGCGGACGGGUGAGGAAUACAUCGGAAUCUACUUUUUCGUGGGGGAUAACGUAGGGAAACUUACGCUAAUACCGCAUACGACCUACGGGUGAAAGCAGGGGAUCUUCGGACCUUGCGCGAUUGAAUGAGCCGAUGUCGGAUUAGCUAGUUGGCGGGGUAAAGGCCCACCAAGGCGACGCUCCGUAGCUGGUCUGAGAGGAUGAUCAGCCACACUGGAACUGAGAAACGGUCCAGACCCCUACGGGAGGCAGCAGGGGGGAAUAUUGGACAAGGGGCGGAAGCCUGAUCCAGCCAUGCCGGGGGGGGGAAGAAGGGCUUCGGGUUGGAAAGCCCUUUUAGUUGGGAGGAAAAGCAGGAAGUUAAUACCCUGCUGUUUUGGCGGGACCAAAAGAAAAAGCACCGGCUAACUUCGUG